rnacentral:lncRNA from 1 species
CCCAUCCCCACCCCCCUUUUGCUUCCUCUGCCUUUCUAAUUCUCAAUCUGCUUAACCAGGCUUUAGAGGCCAAGCAAAUCUGAGAUCAAUUUUCUCGUUUAGCUCUAAGUGACAUCAUCUAAAAUCAUUGUGCAAGGGCUAAAUAAGGAAACGGAGUCUAAUUCAGGGGCAAACGCCAGGCUAUAUUUAUCAAACGCCAAGCUCCAGAAAGCCUCGGCUAGGAAGCCUCGGCAGUGAAAUCCGAGGUUUCGCUGCUUGGUUCCACUGGGCCUGGGUGGGCCGGGCUGGGCCGGGCUGGGCCGGGUCAGAUCUGUGCCACCUCCGCAGACCUAUUUCUUCCUCCAGGGCUCGGGGUUGCCCGCUCCCGGAAUCCCGGAGUCUCCGCGGCCCGAACCGAGUCUGGACCAUUUAGAAGACGCCGGCAGCCGAACACCCGCCGGGUGUGGCACCUCGGCCGAAACUCCUGGGGCGGCGCGGUGGAGCGUGUGGAGGUUUCCGGGAAGACGCCUACGGCUGCGGCUCCGACUGUGCGGGCUCCCGCCGCCCAGGCAAGAGCGUCCAGGAGCGCGCUGGAAGCUGCGGCGCGCACCUUCCCCGGCGCAGUCUCUUGCCAGCCGGCGAUCACGCAGAGCUGAACCCCGCAGCUAGGCGCGCAGGAAGGGCUGCACAGAGUUUGAAGACACGGCAGCUGUAAGCUGGCGUGAGGAGGCCAAAGGAGCGCGCAGAGCUGCAAGCAAAGGGCGGUGGGGCCUGGACCCUGAAGUGAGUGGCCGACCGCAGCAGCUCAAGGUGCCAUCUGCCUGGCAAGCUACCCGGGUCCCUCCGCCCCACUCUAACUUUCCGCGAAAAUCAGUUCCGCCUCUGCCCCAAGAGCCAAGAGGGGUGGAAAGGAAGAGAGCUUGGGCUGGGAACGCGCCUGAUGUCUAACAGAAAGGCAGUGGCAGCUGGAGCACCUGGGCAGAGCAAGCGGAGAGGCGCCACAUCCCCGAGAGGCGCUUCGUAGUUGUCCUUGGACCGGGCGCAGACACUCAGUAUUGCAGCGAAAAAUCCCCCUCCUGCUGCACUCCUCCGCCACCGGGCUAGGUUGAAAGGAAAAAGCCAAGAAGCGCGAAGCAGCCCGGCUCUGGAAGGCUUUGGAGAGUCCAGCUGACUUGUACACAAUUCGCGGCCUCUGGAGCCUUACCUGCCUUCUUGACUGAAUGCCACCAGUUCGUUUUACGCUUGUGGCUUUUUGUUGAAGUCCCUAUCAUAAGCAAAUGCAGUUUCUGGCUAUGGUUACUGCAAUUCGAAAUAAAAGGCCUGUGAGGUGUGUCCCUCCAGACUGAGAGGCUAUGACUCAGGGUUGGACUUUAUGGAAAAAAAGAAGUUUAUAAAACAAGUAACCCAGUUUCUCCAACCUUUACUGUGGAGCAACAGCGUCAAGCAACAAAACCCAGCAAAGUUUUGCUUGUCACUUACAAGGGUGUUACUGAAAUCUGGAAGGCGAACAAUUAGAAGAUAGCCCAAACAUGCUCUAUUGCUCUACACUGAAAUACUUGCCUCCAAUAAUAGAAAAAACCUGUUUUCGUGCAAUUGAUUGAUUAGCGUUCUGCAGCAGUCCCUGGACAAUUUUAAAGACAUUUUGUGUUUGUGGCCAAAAUUAGAAACAAGCAGACACACACACAAAACAACCAUAUUCAAGACACGGUUCGACUGUUUCCUUGACACUACCCACGAAGUUUAAAGCAUUUUUUAUGUUAUUUUCAAACUUUCUUAAGUGAUCCCAUGAAAUAAAAGUCGAUAAUAGAAAUUAAAACAACACAGAGCAAAGAACGAGCUUAGUGAAAUGGAGAAGCAGUAGAGGUAAAUAAAAAUCCUCGAGCUAGAAAGCUCUAAGAACCGCUUAUAAAUUCAGUUACCUCCUGAACUCCGGCCGAUGGCCACUCCGGCCCGGGAGUGCCCCGCGCCGACCCGCUGGCCUUGGCCGUCUCAGC